rnacentral:rRNA from 1 species
AUACAUGCAAGUCGAGCGAAUGACGAGAAGCUUGCUUCUCUGAUUUAGCGGCGGACGGGUGAGUAACACGUGGGCAACCUGCCCUACAGAUUGGGAUAACUCAGGGAAACCUGGGCUAAUACCGAAUAAUCCUUCGAAUCACAUGUUUUGAAGUUGAAAGGCGCUUCGGCGUCACUGUAGGAUGGGCCCGCGGUGCAUUAGCUAGUUGGUGGGGUAACGGCCUACCAAGGCAACGAUGCAUAGCCGACCUGAGAGGGUGAUCGGCCACAUUGGGACUGAGACACGGCCCAAACUCCUACGGGAGGCAGCAGUAGGGAAUCUUCCACAAUGGACGAAAGUCUGAUGGAGCAACGCCGCGUGAGUGAUGAAGGUUUUCGGAUCGUAAAACUCUGUUGUAAGGGAAGAACAAGUACGUUAGGAAAUGAACGUACCUUGACGGUACCUUAUUAGAAAGCCACGGCUAACUACGUGCCAGCAGCCGCGGUAAUACGUAGGUGGCAAGCGUUGUCCGGAUUUAUUGGGCGUAAAGCGCGCGCAGGUGGUUUCUUAAGUCUGAUGUGAAAGCCCACGGCUCAACCGUGGAGGGUCAUUGGAAACUGGGGAACUUGAGUGCAGAAGAGGAUAGUGGAAUUCCAAGUGUAGCGGUGAAAUGCGUAGAGAUUUGGAGGAACACCAGUGGCGAAGGCGACUGUCUGGUCUGUAACUGACACUGAGGCGCGAAAGCGUGGGGAGCAAACAGGAUUAGAUACCCUGGUAGUCCACGCCGUAAACGAUGAGUGCUAAGUGUUAGGGGGUUUCCGCCCCUUAGUGCUGCAGCUAACGCAUUAACCACUCCGCCUGGGGA